GUGUUACUUUUCACAAGGGUUUGAUUUCUCGUUAUAAUAGUACUACUUGCAAUUAUCUACUAUUGGUUCUUAAUCAAUAUUUAUUACAAGACUGCACUUGCCUUAUCGCUAUGGGGUUUUCAACUCAUGUUAGAUGACUGAUUACAGAUAUUGGUAUCAAGGAGAUACCUCAUAGUGGAAAUUUGAAAGGUAGACGUUAACAUCACUGGUUUAUUAUCCCCAUAGGUUUAAAUGUUAAUCUCUAGGUGUGUAAAACUGCCCUUUGUUUCCUUCUUAUGACCCAGGUCAUGCUAGUUUACGGGGUAACAUCUAAGCCUCGGUGGAUAGAGUUACCUGGUAAUGUGCCGGGAGGAGAUGGUAGGUACCCCUGGGAUUAAUCGAGGUGUGCGCAAGCUGGCCCGAAUACUACGGUUAUAAAAUAAAUAUAUGUGUCCCUUCUUUCUCAUUCACUCUUACUUCAUACGCUCUGUCCCUUGCCCUCUUGCUGUCCUCUCUCUCUACUUCCCUCCCUCCCUCACACACACCAAAAAAAAGAAAUCAUUUUCUGAGUGUCUCUCUUUGUGUAAAAUUUUCCCAAGAAAAACUUCUGUUAAUAGGGGAGGGAUGAAUCAACUUCCAUUACUCACGAGUGGGAAACAUUUUCCUCACAAUUAUUUGACUCUUACUCUUUCUUACUUGUCCGAACUUCCAACCUGCAUUUAAUCAUAGACCCAUCUUUAAUACUCAAAAUAAUUCAAAAAGUAAAUAUUUUUCAGCCAUCAACCAAAAACAGGAAAACAUUUUCUUGAGGAAAAUGUUGUUUUGUGGAGAACAUUUUCCUUCUUACCAAGUACAAUAAUAGAUACAUGCCUAGGUCAGAAGUGAUCUUACAUUUAAUUUAAGGAGGUCGCAUGGCAAUUCAAAAAUCUUUUUUUUAUUUGGUCGGAUAAAUAAUCCACUUCUAUUAAUCUAUUGCAAUAAAAAAUCCGCCUUAUGGGUAGGAUUGCUAAAAGGUGGGAACCAACUAAUGUUAUUAGUUCAACGUCAUUAUCAAUUUAGUAUAAGCUUUCUGUAUGUGUUGGUAAAUUAUGUUAAUUUAUCUUGCCUGAAAUGAUAUGCCAUCAACAUUGUUGGUUUAUUAUCUCCCUUACAUGCCAGGUUCAUCUCCACAAACAUUAGAAUUCCAAUCUCCUUGUAGUGACUUUCAACUUACAAUAGCUGCUAUUAGCCUAUUAAGUGUACAGUGAAUUCUUGAGAAUACUACAUCAAAUUUAUAGAUUUGAAAUACUAUCUAAAACUUGAAAAUGUGAGUUGACCCUGUUUUUUUUUACAUAUAAUUCAAGCACGAUUGGUUCGUCCUCCCAGCUAUAGGACUCUCAUACCUAGGAAGAGGGGUUAUCUUUUUUUUGGAGGCAGGUUUGGAGGUUGAUUUGUUGGUGGGAAGGAUAGAUUAAGUUGUUGCUCUUCUCUCACGUAAUUUAUUUUAGUUCUUUUUGUCGAGGAAGGCAGGGAAUGGAAUGUGGAAGGCAGGGAGUGGCUGUUGGUUGUCCACACCGUUCUGUUUUGCUGAGACCCCAAUGCCAACUGCUCUUGAUAAAAUAUUGAAAGCAUUUCAAUGUUUAAGUUGACCUAUAAGGUUAAUUUAUCCCCAAAGAGGGGUUAGCGUUUAGAGGUAUAGUUUAAAAUGUAAAGAACCAAGGUGAGAGCUAGGCCCCUAAACGAGAUGUUCAAACAUGGAAUAGGCUACAGUGUCCCGUUGCCACUUGACAUUUGACUUGGUUGGAUUUGGAAGCAAUUGCAUGGGUGCGUAAUGUGAGUGUUGUCUUGGCCUCUUGGGCCAAGUGCUCUUGCUGAUACUUGGCAAUGCGGUUGCAUCAAGGUGCCUGUGGAAGGCAUGACAGACUAGGGGAUAUUAUCAAGAAAAAGAAGGCAAGGUUCGUGCCGAGCCAAGUUCUAGACAUGUGCGAGGAGGGUGUAGCAAGACAUGUGCAUGGCAAAAGUGUCAAGGCCUUGUCAGUUGGCGCCAAAGUGAGCAUGUUGGCACAGGCAUGCCUGGCAUAUGGUUAUCCUAAUCCUUGGUGGUACAAUCUGAAUACGGGUAUGUGUCAAAGUGCACAGUGACACGAGAUGCACAAACUCACAGCAUAGUCUAAGUAAAAUAGACUAAGUAUUAAGCAAUGUAAAACACUCAAUAAUAUACAGGAAACAAGUUUCCAACCUUUAUUAUUCUCUCAGAAUUACAAAGGAACAAUGCCACACGAAUUUUCUAAGGCAUCACAACACUCUCAGCCUUAGACAAAUUCCAGCAACACAAAUAUAAAGACUGCACAAGGCAACUACAAACAGUUACAACUGUCACACUUGGCAGCAUGUCAUUGGACAUGGCCUGCAUGCCUAUCACAUGACUCAACAAACUUUAUCUAGAACUUAUUACAUAUCUGAAAAUCCCACAUGUAAAAAUAUUCAAAUUUCGAAUUUGCAACUGCCUCAUGUGACAAACGCAUGGGCAGCUUUGCCCCUUAGCCGAAUUUGUCAUGCUUCACACGUAGAAUAUUUUAGCCUAUUCUUGUCAUGUCUUUUAGCCACAACAUUGCCGAGGCUUAUUUGAUUACUUAGACGAUUUUUUGGUGGUAUAUUUGGAUGACAUUGUCAUUUAUAGUUGCUCUCUUGAUGAGCACUUGGAACACUUAAAGUUGGUAUUAUCUCGUUUGAGAGAGUAGAGACUUUAUGUGAAAAUUGUGAAUUUGCCUAGAAGGAAGUGAAAUUCCUUGGGCAUUUGGUUAGUCAAAACCAAGUAAAAAUGGAUUCAAAAAACGUGCAAGCAAUUGUGGAAUGACAGACUCCUAAUGGGGUCAAAGACUUGAGGUCGUUUUUGUGUUUGGCUAACUAUUAUCGCAGGUUCAUUGCGGUUGCUUACUCAAAGAAAGCGGCUGCAUUGACAGAUUUGUUGGAGAAAGAUGUCAAAUGGGUGUGGUCUGAAAAAUGUGAUACAACAUUUCAGAAAUUGAAGAAAGCCAUUGCUUUAGAACCCAUCUUGAAGCUGCCUGAUUUUGAGUUACCUUUUGAAGUGCAUACUUAUGCAUCAGACAAAGCUGUUGGGGUUGUGUUGGUGCAAGGUCAUUUUGUGGCCUUUGAGAGUCGAAAAUGGGAUGAUGCAGAAUGACGGUAUUUGAACCAUGAAAAAGAAAUGGUGGCAGUAGUGCAUUGCUUGCAGACUUGGAUAGUGUACUUAUUGGGUACUCGUUUUAUUGUGAGGACUGACAAUGUUGCUAACACUUUCUUUAAGACGCAAAAAAAGUGAAGUCCAAAACAGGCACGGUGGUAGGAAUUCUUGGCUGAAGAUGACUUCAUUUGGGAGCAUAAACUAGGAAAACACAACCAAGCUGCUAAUGCACCAAGUCGAAAAGAGGUAUUUGCUGCUAUAUACUCUAUUUUUCACUUGAAAUUGGUUUUCUUGAUAGAAUCAAAUUUUGUGCUGCAAACGAUCCGCUCUAUGUCAAAUGGAUGGGUCAAGUGAAAGAUGGGACAAUCAUAGUACCUCAAGGUAGUGGACUACAUAAAGACUUGAUGAAAGAGGUGCAUGAUACUCUUUGGGCUGGACAUCCGGGUGUUGAACGAUGCUAGCUUUGCUGUCCUGUGUGUAUUUCUGGUCAUCCGUGUGUAUGAAAGAGGAAGGUUGAUGGGAAUGCUUCUAUAAUGGUGGUGGUGGACAGGUUUUCAAAAUAUGCUACCUUUGUUGCUGCACUAGUUACUUGCUCGUCUGAAGUUGCUACAAGUGACAUUGUGAGUGAUCGAGAUGUGCGGUUCAUAGGUCGGUUUUGACAGACUGUGUUCAGCAUGAUGGGGGCUGACUUGAAGUUUUCCACAGCAAAUCAUCGUCAAACUGAUGGCCAAGCUGGAAGAAUCAAUCACUUGCUAGAAGAAUACUUGAGCCAUUUUGUGGCAGCAAGCCAACAUAACUGGGUAGACUUGUUGGAUAUGGCACAGUGUUGCUAUAAUCUGCACAGGUCGUCGGCAACAGAGAAGAGUCCAUUCGAACUUGUCUUAGGCAUGCAACCUAUGCACCACUUGACGUAGUGAUGCUGAAAAGUCGUGGCAUUUGUCCUGCUGCUUAUAGGUAUGCAAAAGACAAGCAUGACAUGCUUGUUAAGGCACAAGACAGCUUGAGGAAAGCCCAGAAAUGUAUGAAGAAGUAUGCCGAUCAGCAUAGACGUGCGGUGGAGUUCAAUGUUGGAGACAAAGUGCUUCUUAAGCUCCCUCCACAAAUUUGGAAACAGAUUGUGAGCAAAAGAAGGCAUAGGGGAUUAAUUGUAAGAUAUGUUGGCCCGUUCGAAGUUGUUGAGAAUAUUGGGGAAGUCGCUUAUAAGUUGAAUUUGCUGGAAAGGUUGAAGAUUCAUCCUACUUUCCAUGUUAGUUUUCUAAAAUGGUAUCAUGAAGAUGCUGAAGACUCGGGCAAAGCCAAAAAGGCUCCUCCUUUGAAUCCGAAGUAGUAUAAAACCAAAAUGGUGAAAAUACUUGAUCAUCGGGUUGUGGAAAACAACAAAAGGAAUACCAAGACAGAAUUUUCGAUACAAUGGAAAGGAAAAAGUAAAGAGGAUGCGGUAUAGGAGAAGACUCAAAACUUAUGGCAAUUCGACAAGCAGAUUGAAGACUACCUCAAAACAACCUCGACGAGGGUGUCGAGUUCAUAUGGUGGGGGUGCAUUGUUAGACCCCCAGUCUAAGGCGUGAUGGUCGACAUACCAUGUCAGGGUGCACAUUGGCCUUGAUACGGGCUAAGACAAGCAAUGUGAUGCUGUGUUGGCUAUGAGAUGCUGCUAACCAAGGGGCUGGAGUGUCAGCAAGGUAGCCUUGUGCACAAUGUGUGGCGACAGGUGCAUGGCACCUGCGCGGGCAUGCGUGCAGGUAGUGGCAUAGGCUUGGCAUAGGCGCUGACAUGGUCUAGGCAGUGGCGUGGCCUAGGUGAUGACAUGAUCAGGGUGAAGGCAUGGUCUAAACAUUGGCAUGGGCAGUGACAUGGUCUAGACAGUGGCAUGGUCUAGGCAGUGACAUGACACAGGCAUGGCAAGGCAAUGCUGUGGCUGAAAGACAUGACAAGAAUAGGCUGAAAUAUUCCAAGUGUUGGAAGCUGAAAAUAUUCUAAGUGUGAAGCAUGACAAAUUCGGCUAAGGGGCCAGACUACCCAUGUGCUUGUCACAUGGGGCAGUUGCAGAUUUGAAAUUUGAAUGUUUUUACAAGUGGGAUUUUCAGAUAUGUAAUUAGAAUGUUUAGAUAAAGUUUGUUGAGUCAUGUGAUAAGCAUGCAGGCUAUGUCCAAUGACAUGCUACCUAGUGUGACAGUGGUAAUUGCUUGUAAUUGCCUUGUGCAGUCUUUAUAUUUGUAUUGUUGGAAUUUGUCUACGAUAGUGAGUGUUGUGAUGCCUUAGAAAAUUCGUGUGGCAUUGUUCCUUUGUAAUUCUGAGAGAAUAAUAAAGGUUGAGAACUUGUUUCCUAUA